rnacentral:rRNA from 1 species
UUAAGCGACUAAGCGUACACGGUGGAUGCCCUGGCAGUCAGAGGCGAUGAAGGACGUGCUAAUCUGCGAAAAGCGUCGGUAAGGUGAUAUGAACCGUUAUAGCCGGCGAUGUCCGAAUGGGGAAACCCAGUGCAAUUCGUUGCACUAUCGUUAACUGAAUACAUAGGUUAACGAGGCGAACCGGGGGAACUGAAACAUCUAAGUACCCCGAGGAAAAGAAAUCAACCGAGAUUCCCCCAGUAGCGGCGAGCGAACGGGGAGCAGCCCAGAGUCUGAAUCAGCUUGUGUGUUAGUGGAACGGUCUGGAAAGUCCGACGGUACAGGGUGAUAGUCCCGUACACCAAAAUGCACAGGUUGUGAACUCGAAGAGUAGGGCGGGACACGUGGUAUCCUGUCUGAAUAUGGGGGGACCAUCCUCCAAGGCUAAAUACUCCUGACUGACCGAUAGUGAACCAGUACCGUGAGGGAAAGGCGAAAAGAACCCCGGCGAGGGGAGUGAAAAAGAACCUGAAACCGUGUACGUACAAGCAGUGGGAGCACCUUCGGGUGUGACUGCGUACCUUUUGUAUAAUGGGUCAGCGACUUAUAUUCUGUAGCAAGGUUAACCGUAUAGGGGAGCCGCAGGGAAACCGAGUCUUAACUGGGCGUUAAGUUGCAGGGUAUAGACCCGAAACCCGGUGAUCUAGCCAUGGGCAGGUUGAAGGUUGGGUAACACUAACUGGAGGACCGAACCGACUAAUGUUGAAAAAUUAGCGGAUGACUUGUGGCUGGGGGUGAAAGGCCAAUCAAACCGGGAGAUAGCUGGUUCUCCCCGAAAGCUAUUUAGGUAGCGCCUCGUGAACUCAUCUUCGGGGGUAGAGCACUGUUUCGGCUAGGGGGUCAUCCCGACUUACCAACCCGAUGCAAACUACGAAUACCGAAGAAUGUUAUCACGGGAGACACACGGCGGGUGCUAACGUCCGUCGUGAAGAGGGAAACAACCCAGACCGCCAGCUAAGGUCCCAAAGUCAUGGUUAAGUGGGAAACGAUGUGGGAAGGCACAGACAGCCAGGAUGUUGGCUUAGAAGCAGCCAUCAUUUAAAGAAAGCGUAAUAGCUCACUGGUCGAGUCGGCCUGCGCGGAAGAUGUAACGGGGCUAAACCAUGCACCGAAGCUGCGGCAGCGACACUAUGUGUUGUUGGGUAGGGGAGCGUUCUGUAAGCCUGCGAAGGUGUGCUGUGAGGCAUGCUGGAGGUAUCAGAAGUGCGAAUGCUGACAUAAGUAACGAUAAAGCGGGUGAAAAGCCCGCUCGCCGGAAGACCAAGGGUUCCUGUCCAACGUUAAUCGGGGCAGGGUGAGUCGACCCCUAAGGCGAGGCCGAAAGGCGUAGUCGAUGGGAAACAGGUUAAUAUUCCUGUACUUGGUGUUACUGCGAAGGGGGGACGGAGAAGGCUAUGUUAGCCGGGCGACGGUUGUCCCGGUUUAAGCAUGUAGGCUGAUUGUUCAGGCAAAUCCGGAUAAUCAAGGCUGAGGUGUGAUGACGAGGCACUACGGUGCUGAAGUAACAAAUGCCCUGCUUCCAGGAAAAGCCUCUAAGCAUCAGGUAACAUUAAAUCGUACCCCAAACCGACACAGGUGGUCAGGUAGAGAAUACCAAGGCGCUUGAGAGAACUCGGGUGAAGGAACUAGGCAAAAUGGUGCCGUAACUUCGGGAGAAGGCACGCUGGUGUGUAGGUGAAGUCCCUGCGGAUGGAGCUGAGACCAGUCGAAGAUACCAGCUGGCUGCAACUGUUUAUUAAAAACACAGCACUGUGCAAACACGAAAGUGGACGUAUACGGUGUGACGCCUGCCCGGUGCCGGAAGGUUAAUUGAUGGGGUUAUCCGUAAGGAGAAGCUCUUGAUCGAAGCCCCGGUAAACGGCGGCCGUAACUAUAACGGUCCUAAGGUAGCGAAAUUCCUUGUCGGGUAAGUUCCGACCUGCACGAAUGGCGUAAUGAUGGCCAGGCUGUCUCCACCCGAGACUCAGUGAAAUUGAACUCGCUGUGAAGAUGCAGUGUACCCGCGGCAAGACGGAAAGACCCCGUGAACCUUUACUAUAGCUUGACACUGAACAUUGAGCCUUGAUGUGUAGGAUAGGUGGGAGGCUUUGAAGCGUGGACGCCAGUCUGCGUGGAGCCAACCUUGAAAUACCACCCUUUAAUGUUUGAUGUUCUAACGUUGGCCCCUUACCGGGGUUGCGGACAGUGUCUGGUGGGUAGUUUGACUGGGGCGGUCUCCUCCCAAAGCGUAACGGAGGAGCACGAAGGUUAGCUAAUCCUGGUCGGACAUCAGGAGGUUAGUGCAAUGGCAUAAGCUAGCUUGACUGCGAGCGUGACGGCGCGAGCAGGUGCGAAAGCAGGUCAUAGUGAUCCGGUGGUUCUGAAUGGAAGGGCCAUCGCUCAACGGAUAAAAGGUACUCCGGGGAUAACAGGCUGAUACCGCCCAAGAGUUCAUAUCGACGGCGGUGUUUGGCACCUCGAUGUCGGCUCAUCACAUCCUGGGGCUGAAGUAGGUCCCAAGGGUAUGGCUGUUCGCCAUUUAAAGUGGUACGCGAGCUGGGUUUAGAACGUCGUGAGACAGUUCGGUCCCUAUCUGCCGUGGGCGCUGGAGAAUUGAGGGGGGCUGCUCCUAGUACGAGAGGACCGGAGUGGACGCAUCACUGGUGUUCGGGUUGUCAUGCCAAUGGCACUGCCCGGUAGCUAAAUGCGGAAGAGAUAAGUGCUGAAAGCAUCUAAGCACGAAACUUGCCCCGAGAUGAGUUCUCCCUGAGACUUUAAGUCUCCUGAAGGAACGUUGAAGACGACGACGUUGAUAGGCCGGGUGUGUAAGCGCAGCGAUGCGUUGAGCUAACCGGUACUAAUGAACCGUGAGGCUUAACCUU